AACGGCGAGUGAAGAGGAAAGAGCUCAAAGUUGGAACCUGUUUGGCUUAGCUUAACCGGAUUGUAAACUGUAGAAGUGUUUUCCAGACACGCCUGGUAAAAAAGUCCUUUGGAACAGGGCAUCAUAGAGGGUGAGAAUCCCGUCUUUGGCCAGAGCUGUUGUCUUUUGUGAUACAUUUUCAAAGAGUCAGGUUGUUUGGGAAUGCAGCCUAAAUUGGGUGGUAAAUCUCACCUAAAGCUAAAUAUUUGCGAGAGACCGAUAGCGAACAAGUACCGUGAGGGAAAGAUGAAAAGAACUUUGAAAAGAGAGUUAAACAGUAUGUGAAAUUGUUAAAAAGGGAACCGUUUGGAGCCAGACUGGCUUGACUGUAAUCAAUCUAGGCUUCGGCCUGGAUGCACUUGCGGUUUAUGCCUGCCAACGACAAUUUUUUUUGAGGGAAAAAACUAUUAGGAAUGUGGCCCCCCUCGGGGGGUGUUAUAGCCUUUUAGAAAAUACCUUGAAUUGGAUUGAGGAACGCAGUGAAUGCCUUUUUAAGGCAAGAUUGCUGGGCGCUUUCGCUAAUAAAUGCUAGAAUUUCUGCUUCGGGUGGUGCUAGUGUUUAAAGGAGAAACUCGCUUGGUAUAUUUUUUAUUCGCUUAGGUUGUUGGCUUAAUGACUCUAAAUGACCCGUCUUGAAACACGGACCAAGGAGUCCACCAUUAGUGCGAGUAUUUGGGUGCCAAACCCAUAUGCGUAAGGAAACUGAUUGAUACGAAAUCCUUGAGAUGGCAGUAUCACCCGGCGAUGACGUUUUAUACUGAACCGACCGAGGUAAAGCACUAAUGAUGGGACCCGAAAGAUGGUGAACUAUGCCUGAAUAGGGUGAAGCCGGAGG
rnacentral:rRNA from 1 species